rnacentral:rRNA from 1 species
AUUCUCCCUUGGAUCCAGACUUUGAUUAUGGCUCAGGAUGAACGCUAGCUACAGGCUUAACACAUGCAAGUCGAGGGGAAACGACAUCGAAAGCUUGCUUUUGAUGGGCGUCGACCGGCGCACGGGUGAGUAACGCGUAUCCAACCUGCCCACCACUUGGGGAUAACCCUGCGAAAGUAAGACUAAUACCCAAUGACGUCUCUAGAAGACAUCUGAAAGAGAUUAAAGAUUUAUCGGUGAUGGAUGGGGAUGCGUCUGAUUAGCUUGUUGGCGGGGUAACGGCCCACCAAGGCUACGAUCAGUAGGGGUUCUGAGAGGAAGGUCCCCCACAUUGGAACUGAGACACGGUCCAAACUCCUACGGGAGGCAGCAGUGAGGAAUAUUGGUCAAUGGACGAGAGUCUGAACCAGCCAAGUAGCGUGCAGGAUGACGGCCCUAUGGGUUGUAAACUGCUUUUAUAAGGGAAUAAAGUGAGUCUCGUGAGACUUUUUGCAUGUACCUUAUGAAUAAGGACCGGCUAAUUCCGUGCCAGCAGCCGCGGUAAUACGGAAGGUCCGGGCGUUAUCCGGAUUUAUUGGGUUUAAAGGGAGCGUAGGCCGGAGAUUAAGCGUGUUGUGAAAUGUAGAUGCUCAACAUCUGCACUGCGGCGCGAACUGGUUUCCUUGAGUACGCACAAAGUGGGCGGAAUUCGUGGUGUAGCGGUGAAAUGCUUAGAUAUCACGAAGAACUCCGAUUGCGAAGGCAGCUCACUGGAGCGCAACUGACGCUGAAGCUCGAAAGUGCGGGUAUCGAACAGGAUUAGAUACCCUGGUAGUCCGCACGGUAAACGAUGGAUGCCCGCUGUUGGUCUGAAUAGGUCAGCGGCCAAGCGAAAGCAUUAAGCAUCCCACUUGGGGAGUACGCCGGCACCGGUGCAACUUAAAUGACA